GUGGGGAAUCUUGCGCAAUGGGCGAAAGCCUGACGCAGCCAUGCCGCGUGAAUGAUGAAGGUCUUAGGAUUGUAAAAUUCUUUCACCGGGGACGAUAAUGACGGUACCCGGAGAAGAAGCUCCGGCUAACUUCGUGCCAGCAGCCGCGGUAAUACGAAGGGGGCUAGCGUUGCUCGGAAUUACUGGGCGUAAAGGGCGCGUAGGCGGACAGCUUAGUCAGAGGUGAAAGACCAGGGCUCAACAUUGGAAUUGCCUUUGAUACUGGCUGUCUUGAGUUUGGGAGAGGUGAGUGGAACUCCGAGUGUAGAGGUGAAAUUCGUAGAUAUUCGGAAGAACACCAGUGGCGAAGGCGACUCACUGGCCCGUUACUGACGCUGAGGCGCGAAAGCGUGGGGAGCAAACAGGAUUAGAAACCCUUGUAGUCC
rnacentral:rRNA from 1 species